rnacentral:rRNA from 1 species
UACGUAGGGUGCGAGCGUUGUCCGGAAUUAUUGGGCGUAAAGAGCUCGUAGGCGGUGUGUCGCGUCGGUCGUGAAAACUUGGGGCUUAACCCUGAGCUUGCGGUCGAUACGGGCAUCACUGGAGUUCGGCAGGGGAGACUGGAAUUCCUGGUGUAGCGGUGAAAUGCGCAGAUAUCAGGAGGAACACCAGUGGCGAAGGCGGCUCACUGGACCGGUUCUGACGCUGAUGCGCGAAAGCGUGGGGAGCAAACGGG